AGGGCGCAGCUGCGCCCGCUUCAGCGCCUCCCGGGUCUGCGUGGCCUGCUCGGCUCAGAGGCCUCCACCACGGUCCGCUCCCUGCCGGACGCCGCGCUGCUGUGGCCGCGGUGGUUCUGUGGCUGUGAGGGCCGUUUCUGUCCGUCCACACCGCCUUCCCUCUGCAGAUUUCCUCUGCAGAGGCCCGGAGUUACCAGCAAGGUCUGACGCAGCAGAGUGCAGAAACGGCCUCCCUGUCUGUCAAAGUGGCCUCCCGAGGACACCCAGCGAGGCCACCAGAUCAUCACGUGGAGUAUCGGUGGCCUUAUUAAAACAAAAACAACAACUCCACAGCCCGGCGAGCGCAGCCCAAAGGGAUGAGAAGAUGGAUAUGGCCCGGAGAUAAUGCACACCUCUCGUGGGGACAGUGUCCCCAUCCCCCUCCGGCUGCACUGAAGACCUGGAGCAAUGGCUGCCAUCCAUGCGCGAGGACCCCUCGGAGGUUCCACCUGCACAGACCUUGCUAAGGGUGAGGUGAUUACUAGAAGGAGCACCUUUUCUAGUUAAAAUCUAACUAGAUUCUCCUUGGCAACUUGUCUUACAGAAACAGAAAGACUGUGGGGAGAGUCCGUUUUCUUAGAGCCGUAUGAAGAAAUCCUAAAAACCAACUGCCCAAUCUCAACUCGUAACAGGGAACCUGGGGAGUGACAUCAGAGAUUCCCAAUGUUUUCCUCCUCGUUGAUCCCUGCGAUGAAGGCACUUGCCCAUGUGUAUUCUGUAGUAGGAGUUUGCAUUCUGAAACUGGUCUUUAUUAAAGAACAAACACAUUAUUUACAAAUUAUAGUAAGAGAAA
rnacentral:lncRNA from 1 species